CAUGUAUAGAAUCUAGCUUCCUUCCUUCUUAAUGUCUACCUUUUUCCUGGAAACUGACUUCUAGGGACUACAUUGAGCAAGGAGCCAGGUCCUCUGAAUUCAGAGAACUGAGUAUUAAAAAGUUUAGAGUAAUUAUGCUUUCAGUCUCACCUCUUGGGUCACAGUUUCAGCAGUGCAGCAGUGACUGUAUUUAUCUACCAAUACACACCUUUGCAUUUUAGGUGUCCACUGUAUCUUGGCUAAAUGUCUAUUUGACUUCCACCUUUCACCUUUCAACCUGGGAUGGUAACAUCUUCCUGUUGAUGCUAGUCCCUAAUCCUUUACUACACUUUGCCACUUUCCUUGUCCUGUGUACACCUCUGAAAAACAGCCUCCUCAUUAAAAUAUUCAAUUAACAUUUUUGAGUGUGUGCCACCUGUUUCUUUCAAAGACCCUUACAAAUUAAGAGAAAAUACUUAAAGGUUACUUCCUUAAUUUUUUUUCCUUACCCUCUAACUGCUCUUCUUCUAGCCCAGUAAGACCAGGCAGGAGCUCCUCUCAUUGGGCUUGCACAGCAGCCUCUAUCAUAGCAUUGGUCACACUGCAGUUUUAUUGCCUGUGAAUUCAUCUUCCUCUCUCUUAGGAGACAGAUCUGUUUCUUAUUCACAUUUGUAUCCCUGGAUCUCAGUGUGGGAUUGAUACACAUAAGGUGCUCAGUAAUGCUAUUGAUUGAACUGGCUUUUCAGGGAAAUGAGAAAAUUCUUGGAAGAACUGGACUUCUAGUUGCUCCUGAGAAUCUUUUCAGGGUCAGGAAGCAGAAUCGGUGGGUAGAUCCUCCAAACCAGUGAGAAAAAAAAAACGAAAACCUAACAACCUGGACAUUGGGAGUAGUGCCUCUGGCUUCAGAGAAAUGGCCAUGUGUACAGCCCAGAGUAGCCUCCACACAAAGCCCAUCUCAUGCCACUUGUCCCCAGAUGCACAGAUGAAAACGGAGCUUGCUUGCCUUUUGAGAAAGCCAUGAAGUAGUCACUCUUCUUAAAAAGUUGUCACUUUCAUCCAGAAAGUGAUCAGGGUCAAACUUCUCUAGGCUGGGAAACUCUCUAUCAUCAUGCAGGACAGACGUCAUGAAUGCUAUUGGGUCUGUUCCCUGAUAGAAGUAGAAACAGAUGAACUAGUUUAUAAAGGAGUCAUGGAACUUAAAAAGAAUUAGACAUCCCUCACCUAAUCUCCUUGUUUUAUAAUAGGGGAGAGGGGGGCACAAAAAAAG
rnacentral:lncRNA from 1 species